rnacentral:rRNA from 1 species
GACGAACGCUGGCGGCGGCUUAACACAUGCAAGUCGAGCGGAGAUGAGGUGCUUGCACCUUAUCUUAGCGGCGGACGGGUGAGUAAUGCUUAGGAAUCUGCCUAUUAGUGGGGGACAACAUUCCGAAAGGAAUGCUAAUACCGCAUACGCCCUACGGGGGAAAGCAGGGGAUCUUCGGACCUUGCGCUAAUAGAUGAGCCUAAGUCGGAUUAGCUAGUUGGUGGGGUAAAGGCCUACCAAGGCGACGAUCUGUAGCGGGUCUGAGAGGAUGAUCCGCCACACUGGGACUGAGACACGGCCCAGACUCCUACGGGAGGCAGCAGUGGGGAAUAUUGGACAAUGGGCGGAAGCCUGAUCCAGCCAUGCCGCGUGUGUGAAGAAGGCCUUUUGGUUGUAAAGCACUUUAAGCGAGGAGGAGGCUACCUGGAUUAAUACUCUAGGAUAGUGGACGUUACUCGCAGAAUAAGCACCGGCUAACUCUGUGCCAGCCGCCGCCGUAACAC